rnacentral:snoRNA from 13 species
AUGCCGUGAUGAUUACCAUCUGGUUUCGCUUUUGGCUGAGUUUCCGUGGUGACACCUUUCUCUUGGCUGUCUGAGCUU